CGACGAAAAGAAAGAGAGCCCGACACAAUCACAAGCGCAUGCGCCAGUUGGCGUCCUCGAAAUUUUUCGAGAGGGCCACAUUUCUUUUUUAUUUUAUCGUGCGAGCAACCGAGACGGCGCCUACGCGGGGCGCACUCGGGCUGUCCCCCGCGUGACCCAAAAUGUUCGCUCCCAAAUGGGGCUGGGGAUGCCCGCGGCGCACACUAGAAAAGCGAGGCGCGUGCGCACGGGCGACGACCAGGCAUACACUGUGCACGCCAGCAGCCAAUAGCAAAAAAAAGGGAAAAAAGAGGCGCCGCCAGAGAUUGCCGACGCAUACGCAAAGGCGCCGAUCGAGGCGGACAAGAGGUCGCAGCGCGGGCGGAUAGGCGAGCGCAGGUUGUGCCUGUCAAAUUUUUUAUGCCCGCGGCCAAAGGUGUGCCAAUACCAGGCAUACGAAACAAAAAAAUAUUAAAAAAAG
rnacentral:lncRNA from 1 species